AUGGCCUCAAUCAGUGCUGUUUUUUUGAUGCAUAUGGAAGGCACCAGACAGAAUUGGCAUAUCCAAAGGAAAAAGAAGAAAUGUAACACAUACUUGGUUGCUGACCUCAAAAUUCUAAGUGUUGGAUGUUGCUGUGAAGAGGACUUUAAAAAACAAACGAGAGAGCAGGAGAGCACAAGCAGUGGGAGUGGCAAAGAGAGAGGGAGAAGGCUGCCCACCAAGCGGGGAGCCUGAUGCAGGGUUCAAUCCCAGGAUCCAUGGAUCAUGACCCCAGCCAAAGGCAGACUGACUGAGCCACACAGGUACCCCCAAAAUCACAUUUUUAUCAAAUUAACAUGAACUGAAAUCUGAAAGUGAAAAAUAAAUGACAAAGAGGGAAUCUCGGGGGGAGGGGUGUUAUGUAUUGUACUUUUGUCUUUUGCUUUUAAAGCAAAGAUUUCAGGUCUCUGUCUAGAAAGGUUAUCCUCCCCUUCCUCUCCCAUCUUCUUCACCAGACAAAUGGAACUCAUCCUUAAGUUCUUAGCUCAAAAGUCACUUCCUCAGCAAGAUCUUCCUUGGCUAUUCCCUAAACUGAAUUAGACAUUCUAUUGCUCUCUCUUUCCCAUUUAUUUAUUUAUUUGUUUGUUUGUUUAUUUAUAUCAAAGAGCCAAUCACAGUUUCUAACUGUGCCCUUGUUUCUAUGUCCAUCAGCCUAGUCUCUGUCUGUUCUACUAGAUUAUAAGUUCCAGGAGGGCAGGAACCACCUCUGUCUUGUUACCGCCUGACCCCUCAGCAUCUAGAGCCUGGUACCUAGUAGGCAGGCCUUUCAUAAAUGUGUUGGAUGACUGAAUCAGUGAAGACAGCCGCCUUAACAAAAAUAAAUAAAUAAAUGAAAUAAAACUUAAA
rnacentral:lncRNA from 1 species